AACAGGGUCUCGCUCCAUUGACCAGGCUGGAGUGCAGUGGCGUGAUCUUGGCUCACUGCAACCUCCACUUCCCAAGCUCAGGUUCAUGAGCCACACAUCUCCCCACACCAAGCUCCUCAAUACAAGACCUCGGACUGCAUCACAUAAAUGCUUUUUCAGGGGCAAAGUCUAGAGAAUCUGAAACGGUGAGCCUUUUUUUUUGAGAUGAAGUCUCACUCUGUUGCCCAGGCUGGAGUGCAGUGGUGUGAUCUUGGCUCACUGCAACCUCCACCUACUGGGGUCAAGUGAUUCUCCUGCCUCAGCCUUCAGAGUAGCUGGGAUUAUAGGUGCCCAUCCCCAUGCCCAGUUAAUUUUUUUGUAUUUUUAGUAGAGACGGGGUUUCACCAUGUUGGCCAGGCUGGUCUCGAACUCCUGAGCCCAAGUGAUCCACCCACCUUGGCCUCCCAAAGUGCUGGGAUUACAGCAUGAGCCACUGUGCCCAGCUGUGAGCCUGUAUCUUAAUCAAAGUCCUGAGAAUAACCUUGAAGAAGACUCCCUUGCAAUGAGGAAAAACCAAAGAAGCAAGGGACCUGGAAUCUGGCAGACCCGGGUUUGAAUUCUGGCUCUGUCACUUUCUGGUGAAGUGACUUGAGUAAUGAACAUGAGCCUUUCUGGGUAGCGUUUACAGCACAAAGCAAUUUGAGGAAUAAAUGAAAGAGCACGUGUCUAGUGCCUAGCAGUGCACUGGAAACAGUGCCGGUGCUCAGCCGUCAUGUCACACCAGCACUGACCGGUGAGCAUAAACCCUGGGGAUGCCCAGAGCUGGUACAGCCAGGAGCUCCAGAAGCAUGGGAUUCUCAGAGGGAAAUGGAGCUCACUGCUGUACAGGUCCUGUUCAAGUUAGAAAGUAAGAUACAAUGCACACAAAGCCAAACUGUCAUCAUUCAGCUCCUAUUACAGGGGAACUAAGAGCUGCGUUGAAAAUUACUUGCAAAGCUUGUAAGUGGUUCUGCCACUUAUUGGCCAUGUGAACCUUAGCAAAUUACCUAGCGUCUCUGAGUUUCAACUUCCUCAUCUGCAAAAUAGAAAUGAUAAUAAUAACCGCAUCGCAAGAGUUGUUGGAAAAAUGAAAAUGAGAUAUCACAGGAGGUAACAUGUAUGGAGCAUUUACCAUAUGCCAAGCAGUGUUCUAAGAACUUCGGACAUGUUAUCUCACUUGUAUAAGUACUUAGGUGCCUACAACAUAAACAGCACCUAGUAAAUUAAGUAUUGAAAAAAUGCUUUGGGGCAGAGGAAGAAAUGCUAAGCUUCUGUGAGAAGAGAAGACAGCUUGUUACACAGGUGAAAAGAAUAAGCGGCAGCUGAGAGAAGAAAAGUAUGAGUUGCUAGGUGUGACAAUCUCAAGACUUUUCAACCAUUACAAAUUUAAACAGCCACCCUAAAUCACCCCAAAGGACAGACCCGAGUUGUUCUUUUUGUCUUUAAUGUUUGUGCCUCUCCGAAUCAGAGAAGAAGCUGCCAGGAUUCCAGUACAUACCAAAACAUGACAAUACCCCUCAACUGCGCAAACUUUUGUGCAUCCACCGCUACGUAAAGGAAGCCGAAGUCAGUAGACCGGGGGGAACAGUAAGGCAUAUUUGUGACUGAAGCUCAAUUUGCCAUCACAGUGUGGCCACACCUGCCUCACUAAUAUCCUAAUAGUGGGAUAAAUAAUUCAAUAGGGAUAAAGCCUGGAUUUUCCUCUUCUUCUCUCUUAGUGCUUACAUUCUUGGCACGGUAUCGAUGUGCCAUAGACAAGCCAAUAUGUGAGUGUGCUCUCUCUGAAUAAAGUACAGCCUUUCUACAUUGC